rnacentral:rRNA from 1 species
GAGUUUGAUCGUGGCUCAGAUUGAACGCUGGCGGCAUGCCUAACACAUGCAAGUCGAACGGCAGCACUGGGAGCUUGCUCCCUGGUGGCGAGUGGCGGACGGGUGAGUAACGCGUAGGAAUCUGCCUCAUAGCGGGGGACAACUCGGGGAAACUCGAGCUAAUACCGCAUACUACUCGAGAGAGGAAAGCAGGGGACCUUCGGGCCUUGCACUAUGAGAUGAGCCUGCGUUGGAUUAGCUAGUUGGUAGGGUAAAGGCCUACCAAGGCGACGAUCCAUAACUGGUUUGAGAGGAUGACCAGUCACACUGGGACUGAGACACGGCCCAGACUCCUACGGGAGGCAGCAGUGGGGAAUAUUGGACAAUGGGGGAAACCCUGAUCCAGCAAUGCCGCGUGUGUGAAG